GAGCGAAGGAGGCGACGCAGAGAGCGAAAGUGCUCAACCCGCCAGCCGCCACCCGCGAGGCCAUCGCCAUAAGCAACAUAAACACCCGAAAGAGAGCAAACUCCAUCAGCUAAAUCUGCAAGCGUAAAAAGAUGGCGUUCGCAGGCCAAUCCACGACGCUUGGCCAGCUGCAAUCCAGGCCACCCUUCCGCGGUGGCCGCGACGUGGCCUCUCCAGGGAUCAGGGGAGAUCAACAGGGAAGCAGCCCAGCGCUCGUCAAGUCCAGACGUCUCUUCGUCUCCAGCCUCGCCUCCCCUGCAGCUCCUCUUCCCAGUGGACCCCGUCGGGCUCUCGUGAAUUCCAGAUCUUUUUAUCAAUGAAGGAAUCGCGCUUCCGCUCAGUCCUUCUGACUUCCUUCCACGUCAUAUAGGAUUCAUCUAACAGUUCAAAAGAGGAUCCUAUAGCAUGCACGGGUUAUUCUACAUGGUUCAUAAAACCGAUGAAUGGAU
rnacentral:lncRNA from 1 species